CCUGCGGAGGGAUCAUUACCGAGUUUACAACUCCCAAACCCCUGUGAACAUACCAAUUGUUGCCUCGGCGGAUCAGCCCGCUCCCGGUAAAACGGGACGGCCCGCCAGAGGACCCCUAAACUCUGUUUCUAUAUGUAACUUCUGAGUAAAACCAUAAAUAAAUCAAAACUUUCAACAACGGAUCUCUUGGUUCUGGCAUCGAUGAAGAACGCAGCAAAAUGCGAUAAGUAAUGUGAAUUGCAGAAUUCAGUGAAUCAUCGAAUCUUUGAACGCACAUUGCGCCCGCCAGUAUUCUGGCGGGCAUGCCUGUUCGAGCGUCAUUUCAACCCUCAAGCCCCCGGGUUUGGUGUUGGGGAUCGGCGAGCCCUUGCGGCAAGCCGGCCCCGAAAUCUAGUGGCGGUCUCGCUGCAGCUUCCAUUGCGUAGUAGUAAAACCCUCGCAACUGGUACGCGGCGCGGCCAAGCCGUUAAACCCCCAACUUCUGAAUGUUGACCUCGGAUCAGGUAGGAAUACCCGCUGAACUUAAGCAUAUCAAAAGCCGGGAGGAA
rnacentral:rRNA from 1 species